ACGGGGGGUGCAAGCGUUAUUCGGAUUUACUGGGCGUAAAGCGCGCGUAGGCGGCCGUUUAAGUCAGAUGUGAAAGCCCGGGGCUCAACCCCGGAAGUGCAUUUGAUACUAUUCGGCUUGAGUAUGGGAGAGGGAAGUGGAAUUCCUGGUGUAGAGGUGAAAUUCGUAGAUAUCAGGAGGAACACCGGUGGCGAAGGCGACUUCCUGGACCAAUACUGACGCUGAGGCGCGAAGGCGUGGGUAGCAAACAGG
rnacentral:rRNA from 1 species